AAUCAACGCUGGCGGCGUGCCUCAGACAUGCAAGUCGAACGAUUAAAGCUCCCUUCGGGGAGUGCAUAAAGUGGCGCACGGGUGAGUAACACGUAAGUAAUCUACCCUCGAGUGGGGAAUAACGUCCGGAAACGGACGCUAAUACCGCAUAAUGCAGCGGCAACGCACGGGGACAGUUGUUAAAGAUUUAUGGCUUGAGGCGGAGAUUGCGGCAGAUUAGCUAUUUGGUAAGGUAAUGGCUUACCAAGGCCGCGAUCUGUAACCGGUCUAAGAGGACGGUCGGUCACACUGACACUGAAUAACGGGUCAGACUCCUGCGGGAGGCAGCAGUCGGGAAUUUUGGGCAAUGGGCGAAAGCCUGACCCAGCAACGCCGCGUGAAGGAUGAAGUAUUUCGGUAUGUAAACUUCGAAAGAAUGGGAAGAAUAAAUGACGGUACCAUUUAUAAGCUCCUGCUAACUACGUGCCAGCAGCCGCCGUAAUAC
rnacentral:rRNA from 1 species